UACGGGGGGGGCAAGCGUUGUUCGGAAUUACUGGGCGUAAAGGGCUCGUAGGCGGCCAACUAAGUCAGACGUGAAAUCCCUCGGCUUAACCGGGGAACUGCGUCUGAUACUGGAUGGCUUGAGUUUGGGAGAGGGAUGCGGAAUUCCAGGUGUAGCGGUGAAAUGCGUAGAUAUCUGGAGGAACACCGGUGGCGAAGGCGGCAUCCUGGACCAACACUGACACUGAGGAGCGAAAGCCAGGGGAGCAAACAGG
rnacentral:rRNA from 1 species